UUAUUGGGCGUAAAGCGUCCUCAGGCGGCCUUGAAAGUCUGUCGUUAAAGCGUGGAGCUUAACUCCAUUUAAGCGAUGGAAACUACAAGGCUUGAGUGUGGUAGGGGCAGAGGGAAUUCCCGGUGUAGCGGUGAAAUGCGUAGAUAUCGGGAAGAACACCAGUGGCGAAGGCGCUCUGCUGGGCCAUAACUGACGCUCAUGGACGAAAGCCAGGGGAGCGAAAGGGAUUAGAUACCCCUGUAGUCCUGGCCGUAAACGAUGAACACUAGGUGUCGGGGGAAUCGACCCCCUCGGUGUCGUAGCCAACGCGUUAAGUGUUCCGCCUGGGGAGUACGCACGCAAGUGUGAAACUCAAAGGAAUUGACGGGGGCCCGCACAAGCGGUGGAGUAUGUGGUU
rnacentral:rRNA from 1 species